GAAGUUGCGGGUUUGAUCCCUGGCCUUGCUCAGUGAGUUAAGGAUCCCGCACUGCUGUGAGCUGUGUAGGUCGCAGGCGCAGCUGGGAUCUGGCGUUGCUGUGGCUCUAGCGUAGGCCGGUGGCUACAGCUCUGAUUAGACCCCUAGCCUGGGAACCUCCAUAUGCUGCGGGUGUAGCCCUAAAAAGGACAAAAGACAAAAGACAAAAAAAAAGAAAAAAAAAAAAAAAACUGACAGUUUACAGUCUAACAGUUGAAUACAUCCAGAGGUAUGAUACUGUUUUAUAUUGUUCGUAUAACAACAGAAGUCUCUGUCCUAAUUUUGGACAGUUGCUACCACGUAGUCCUCAAUGUAAUGCCUGUUUGGGGAGGGACCUAAAUUGAGCGGGUGUGAAUGAUGAUGAAUCAUGUUCUCAGACUGAGCUAAUUUCCCUUGUUAUGGGUUAUUGGUGUGUGUUUAUAUAAUGUAUAAGAACCUGAAUGUAAAAGUCCUCACAUUCAGAAAUUAAGGUUUUUAGUCUGGUCAUUGGGUUUUUGCUUUAAAAGUACUUAACCUUGGAAUGGGCCGCCUGCAUCCUGAAAACAGCCAUUUCUGUGAAAUCUUCACUGCCCGGAAGUUGUACCUGCUCUGAAUCACAUCUGUUAAUUCAGUUUCUGUUCACUGUUGUGACUGUUCACUUACAUGUUUGUUUCUUCCACUCCUGGGGCUAUGAAUUCCCAUCUGUCUUUGUAUCUCUAGCAUCUACAAUAGCGCUUGCAUGUGGUAAGAGCUACCUUUUUUUUCGGUGUUUUGUUUCAGUUAUUUUCACGGUUGUGACUGUUCACUUACAUGUUUUGUUUCUUCCACUCCUGGGACUGUGAACUCCUGUCUGUCUUUGUAUCUCUAGCAUCUACAAUAGCGCUUGCAUGUGGUAAGAGCUACCUUUUUUUUUUGUGGUGUUUUUGUUUCGUUGAAUAAAUGUGAGUUUUCCAAACCAGAUUGCACAUAUGGGGAAGGGCGACUUUUUUUUUUUAUAGUUGGGAGGAUUGGGCUGUGGACACUGCUGUGGGGGACACAUGUCCCUUCUUUUCCAGGCCCACUCCCCCCACCAUCACCACCCAUGAGGAAGAAGCCAAAGAAAUAAAACCAACAAUCAAACUCUAAAUAGUGUACUAUACUUUUCAAGAUGAUAGACCAUUAUUUGGUCUGCAGGCCAGGACUAAUUUACACAUUGGCACUGGUCAGGUUCUUUUCACAAAGGAGUUGGCUAGUUUUUAUUUUUUUAAAACAUAAGAAUUUCAGGAGUUCCCGUCAUGGUUCAGUGGUUAACGAACCCGACUAGUAUCCAUGAAGACAUGGGUUCGAUCCCUGGCCUCAUUCAGUGGGUUAAGGAUUUGGUGUUGCCAUGAGCUGUGGUGUAAGUCGCAGAUGCUGUUUGGAUCUGGCAUUACUGUGGCUGUGGUGUAGGCAGCAGCUACAGCUCCAAUUCAACCCCUGGCCUGGGAACCUCCAUAUGCUGCGGGUGUGGCCCUAAAAAACACAAAAGACCAAAAAAAUAUAUGUAGGAAUUUCAGAAUCACCAUUGGAUAGUUAAGACUGGUGCUAAAUGGAAUGUUUACAUUUGUGAUAGAAUUUGUUUCCGCACAAUGAUAUCUCAUGUCUACCUUAAGAAAAGAUUUAAAGAUAUAAAAUGAAGAGAUUGUACUUAUUCUUUUCUUUAGAAUUGUCAAAGGGGGAUUUUUACAGUAAAGCUUUACGAGCCAAAAUUCUAAGCAAACUGGCAUUGUUGCCUCACUUACUUUUAUGAAAGGCUGGCAGCAAAAUAAGUUGCUAUCAGAGAUUGAGUUUUGAAAAUCAGGAGUUCCCGCUGUGGCUCAGUGGGUUAGUGAUCCUGCUUGUGUCUGUGGUGUUGCCCUAACAAUGGGUGCUGAAAAAGGGGAAAAAAGAAAAUAUAUACAUACUAUGUUGCCGUGACUCCUAAUAUUUCCUGUAAUAACUCAGUACCACUGCAACACACUAAGUCAGAAGGUCCCCUUUCUACAUCCACUAUGUUUUUUUCUUUUUCCUUUUUUCUUUUCCCACUGUACAGCAAAGGGAUCAAGUCCACUAUGUUUAAGUUAAGAGAGAGUGGGUGAAUAUUUGGACAAUUUUAUUUAUUUUAUUUUAUAUUUUGUGGUGAUUUUUAUUUCUCCAUCAUAGCUGGUUUGCAGUAUUCUGUCAGUUUUCUCCUGUACAGCAAGGUGACCCAGUCACACAUACAUGUAUACAUUCUUUUUUCUCACAUUAUCAUGUCCCAUCGUAAAUGACUGGAUAUAGUUCCCAGUGCUUUACAGCAGGAUCUCAUUGCUUAUCCAUUCCAAAGGCAAUCGUUUACAUCUAUUAACCCCAAAUUCCCAGUCCAUCCCACUCCCUCCGCCUCCCCUUGACAGCUACAAAGCUGUUCUCCAUGCCCAUGAUUUUAUUUUCUGUGGAAAGGUUCAUUUGUGCCAUAUGUUAGAUUCCAGAUGUAAGUGAUACCAUGUGGUAUUUGUCUUUCUGACUUCACGUAGUAUGAGAGUCUCUAGUUCCAUCCAUGUUGCUGCAAAUGGCAUUAUUUUGUUGUUUUUUAAGGCUGAGUAGUAUUCCAUUGUGUGUAUAUAUACACCACAUCUUCUUAAUCCAAUCAUUUAUCGAUGGACAUUUAGGUUGUUUCCAUGUCUUGGCUAUUGUGAAUAGUGCUGCAGGGAGCAUGCAAGUGCAUGUGUCUUUUUCAAGGAAAGUUUUGUCUGGAUAUAUGCCCAAGAGUGGGAUUUCUGGGUCGUAUGGUAGUUCUAUGUAGUUUUCUAAGCUCCCUCCAUACUGUGCUCCAUAGUGGUUGUUCCACACAAAUUUAAUAUUUGGACAAUUUUAAACAAGAUUAUAAUUAAGCUUUUAGAAAGUGGUUCAGCUCUGAAUUUUCCCAUGCAAAGAGUGUGAUGAAACAGAGAAAAUCGCUUUUGUGAAAAUAAGAGAGGAUUAGAAGGAAAGAACAAGGGACAAUUUGCUGUUGGUUUGGUGAAGCCUUGUCAAUUCCUACUCACUUUCCUACCACCCUGCUUUACCUGGAUUUUUUUCUUGAAAGAGAGCCUUCUAUAGUAAUAAUAAUAAAAAUAGUAUUGACAACUUCCAUUUAUUGAGCAGUAUGUGCCAGGCCCUGUGCUCGGUGCUUCAUAACAUUAUUUCAAAUAAUCCUUGUUACAAUCCUAUGCUCAAUGGAUUUUUAAUUCCAUUUUAUAGCUUCAGGGAGGUUAAGGGGCUUGCUUGGGUCACACAGUUAUUAAGAAACAGGUUAUAUUGGGAUUCUCCAAAGAAACAGAGCCAAUAGGUUGUAAAUAUUUGUGUAUGUGUAUAAUGUAAUAUAUCAUAUACUUAUAGAGAGAGGUUUAUUAUGAGGAUAUAGGGAAUUGGCUCAUGUGAUUGUGGAGGUUGGCAGAUCCCCAAAUCUGCAGGGUGGUUGGCUAUCCAGACACCCAGGAGGGCCAAAGCUAUCAUUCCAUUCUGAGUCCAGAAGGCAGGAAAAAGUCAUGUUCUAGUUUGAAGGCUAUGGGGUGGAAAGAAUUGCCUUUUCCAUGGGGGAAAGUCCGUCAUUUUGUCUUUUUUAGGGCUUAAGUAUAGGGUAGUUUUCAGGCUAGGGGUUGAAUCAGAGCUGUAGCCGCUGGCCUACGCCACAGCCACAACAAUUCCACAUCUGAGCUGCAUCUGCAACCUACACCACAGCUCAUGGCAAUGCCAGAUCCUUAACCCACUGAGCAAGGCCAGGGAUUGAACCUGCAUCCUCAUGGAUACUAGUCAGAUUUGUUUCCACUGAGUAAGGGCAGGAACUCCCUUUUUGUCUUUCAAGCCUUCAGUUGACUGGAUGAGGCCCGCCUACAUUAUGCAGCACCAUCUACUUGUCUUCCAGUUUAAGGUCACUCUCAUCCAGAAACCCCCUCAGAGAAACGCCUAGAAUAAUAUUUGACCAAAGAUCUGGUUAAUAAACUAUCACUCAGAUCCAUUUGAUUUCUAAAGCUCAUGCUUUUAACUCUUAUUUCACGACCUCUCCCUCCCACUUGGGAUUCACAAAGUAGCUGUAACCCUAGGGCUUUCCCCUCUCAUCUGGAAUGUCUGUCAAACUCACCCCACCUGUACCUGUUGAACACACCUACUUAGUGCAAGUGCUUGAAUAUCGGUAACCAACUCAGAAUCCCUUUCUUAGUAGCACAUACAACAACACAGCUAUUUCCUUCCUUAGGAUAACUCCCCAGCCUCCUAAUUACAUUCCAAGUUUUUGGGUUUUCAUUCACGUAACCCUUUGAACUAAUUCCCACCACGCUAACCAGUCUCACCUGACUCCUUAUUCAGUCUUCUUCCUUGACGUCUUCGAAGGUACCAAGACCUGAUGAUACAGCCCAGCCAGUUCAUGAGCCUCUCUUCUCAACUGUCCCCUUAGGACCAACCUUUCUUACUGUUUACUUGACUCAGUCGUGCCAUCAUUGCCACCGUCUUUUUAGAACUCUAACCUCUACCUCUCCCCUCAAAAGAAGGAACUGUUACUACAGGGACUUCACUUGGUUGAGUUCAGUCUUGUGAACCCAUAUCUCAGAGAGUGCUUAUUUAAAAGUACUUCCAUGAUCUAUGUACUUUUAAUAAUAUUUAUUAUUCACUUGGUUAUGGUUCUGGAAAGGAUAAAAAUUCUUAGGGUAAUUUUUGCCUCAUUGGCACUGUUCUGCUGCAUCCUGGGAACACGAUCAUCGUGGAUAUCUUUAUGCCAGUCCUGCAGAUUUUUUUGUGAACAGUCUCAGAGCAUAAAGGACAACUCGUUUUUAGCAAGUGAGUUGUCCUUCAAUAUUCAGAACAUAGUCAUUCCUAACAAAGUAACGCUUUUCUUUUUUUUUUUUUUUUCAGGUCUUUGUAGGGCUUCACUUGUGGCAUGUGGAAGUUCCCUAUGCCACAGCCACAGCAAUGCCAGAUCUGAGCUGCAUCCGUGACCUGCACUGCAAUUUGCGACAACACUGGAUCCUUAACCCAGUUAGAGAGGCCAGGGAUCAAACCCGAAUCCUCAUGGAUGCUAGUCAGGUUCUUAGCCCCCUGAGCCACAAUGAGAACUCCCCAAAUAAUGCUUUGAAUACUUUCUCUUUCUGAGAUAGUUGUGCUGUUUUUCAUUGUUGUAUGUUAUUAAAGAUAAAAACAUUAGAAAAUGUUUUUAAAAAUCACAUGGACAAAAUCAGGUUUUAUUGAUAUUCAAGAUAUGGUCAAGCCUGAGAAUCUUUUAACUGAAAAUUUUUAGAUUUUGGAAGAUGAGCUUCAUUGGGCAUUGGCAAUUGUUACAGACAGUUGUCACGUAUUAUCACUUAAGGGAUAUUUCAUCUUUCCAAAAGCCAAUUUACCAAGCACAAUUCACUUAAAGGGUAUUUUUAUUAAAGCUGCAAAUAAAAAUACAUUCCUCUCCCGUACCAGAAAAAAAAAUCAGAUAUGUACUUUUUGAUUGACAAAUGGCAUCUGCAACAGAUAUACAACUUUAAUCAAGGCAAGAGAGCUCUUCCUAUUAAACAUAUUUCUUCUAGGGUUUCCAGGGCUUGGAAUUACAUUACUCCUCUAAUUUAGAUUGACUUGGUAGCCUUUGAUCUGGGAGAAUAAAAACAGAGGGUAUUAAAGUAUGAAUCAUAAAAAUCUGAGAAAUUUGAUGUGUAAUUUGGUACUGUUUUUUAAAGCCAAAUUCUAGUAGCAGGGAAAUGACUUUGGUCUCAAUUCUGAGGCCGGGUGCUUUAAAUGAUUUCUUGAGUAUAUUUGCUUCCAUUUUAUUAAAGCCUUGAAAAAGAAGAGACAUCACUUCACUACCUCUUCCUGUGUUCUUGAUAGUGUUUUUUAAACCAAUUUUGUUGAAAACAAUCAUUUCUUUUUCUUUGCCUUGUUAAGGAGCUGAACCACUAUUAUGUUUUAGAAUUCAGUGGAAUCAAGUAAUCAAGCUAGCUGGUAAUUUUUGUCCUUAACUAUUAAAAGUAGAGUUUUCAGCAUAUUAUGUAAGCAGGAUUUAUGGUAGUAUUCUGGAAGUUUAAGUCAUUGACAUUUUUAGCAGAUUGUUAUUUUCCGAGAUUUAAAAAAAUAUAGCAUCUGAACAACAUUAUAGUUAUAAUAAAGGUUUUGCAAUCUAAAACUUUAUUUUUAAAAAAUAUAACAGGGAUUCUUGUUGUGGCUCAGUGAGUUAAGGACCCAACAUUGUCUCCAUGAGGAUGUGGGUUCAACCUCUGGCCUCCUUCAGUGGGUUAAGGAUCCCGUGCUGUCACAAGUUGCAGCAUAGGUUGCAGAUGUGGCUUGGGUCCUAUGUUUGCUGUGGCUGUGGUGUAGGCCAGCAUCUGCAGUUCCAGUUCAACCCCUAGUCCAGAAAUAUGCCAUGGGUGCAGCAGUAAAAA
ensembl:lncRNA